ensembl:scaRNA
AUUGGAAGCUGAAUAGACCUCUAUUGCAGGCAAAUGAAAUUUCUUUUGUCUGUACUUUCAGCCUUCCUAGAGUAAAGUGAAGGUUUCUGUCUGGAUUAGAGCAGUCGACUGAUCCAGUUCGUUCCCCUUUAUACAUU